CCCCUAGAUGUUCUGGGCCGCACGCGCGCUACACUGACGAAUGCAACGAGCUUAUAACCUUGGCCGAAAGGUCUGGGUAAUCUCCAAAUUUCGUCGUGAUGGGGAUAGAUUAUUGCAAUUAUUAAUCUUCAACGAGGAAUGCCUAGUAAGCGCAAGUCAUCAGCUUGCGUUGAUUACGUCCCUGCCCUUUGUACACACCGCCCGUCGCUCCUACCGAUUGAAUGGUCCGGUGAAGCGCUCGGACCGCGGCCUCUUGACGGUUCGCUGUCGAUUGGCUGUGGGAAGUUCGUUAAACCUUAUCAUUUAGAGGAAGGAGAAGUCGUAACA
rnacentral:rRNA from 1 species